rnacentral:rRNA from 1 species
UACAGAGGGUGCGAGCGUUGUUCGGAAUCACUGGGCGUAAAGCGCUUGUAGGCGGCUUGUUAAGUCGCGUGUGAAAUCCCUUGGCUCAACCAAGGAAGUGCGCGCGAAACUGGCGAGCUCGAGUGCCGGAGAGGGUCGCGGAAUUCCCGGUGUAGAGGUGAAAUUCGUAGAUAUCGGGAGGAACACCAGUGGCGAAGGCGGCGACCUGGACGGACACUGACGCUGAGACGCGAAAGCGUGGGGAGCAAACAGG